AACGGAGGGGGCUAGCGUUAUUCCUCUUUAUUGGGCGUAAAGGGUGCGUAGGUGAUUUUUUCGUCUGCUUGCAAAUCACAAAUUAAGCUUUGUGCGGGGGCAAAAAAAAAAUUUGAAAAGCGUCGGAGUUGACAGAAUUACUAAUGUAAAGGUAAAAUUUGAUGAUAUUAGUAGGAAUACCAAGGGCAAAAGCAGUUUUCUAGGCGUUUUUGACGUUGAUGCACUAAAGCAUGGGGAUCAAACGGG
rnacentral:rRNA from 1 species